rnacentral:tRNA from 1 species
GCACAGGUAGUUCAGUGGUAGAACUCCUGCCCGGUAAGCAGGUUCGAUUCCCGGUCUGUGCA